rnacentral:rRNA from 1 species
CAGCAGCCGCGGGAAUACGUAGGUCCCGAGCGUUGUCCGGAUUUAUUGGGCGUAAAGCGAGCGCAGGCGGUUAGAUAAGUCUGAAGUUAAAGGCUGUGGCUUAACCAUAGUACGCUUUGGAAACUGUUUAACUUGAGUGCAGAAGGGGAGAGUGGAAUUCCAUGUGUAGCGGUGAAAUGCGUAGAUAUAUGGAGGAACACCGGUGGCGAAAGCGGCUCUCUGGUCUGUAACUGACGCUGAGGCUCGAAAGCGUGGGGAGCAAAUGGGAUUAGAUACCCGUGUAGUCCCUGUCUCUUAUACA